UUAGUAAAGCUUAGGUUAACGAGGUUAACAUAACCUAUUAAUCAGAGAAUUUUUAGGUUGUGUGAAAUGAACUUUGUAAUUCUCCAAAAAACGAUGAAACGAAGAAUUUGGACGGGAAACUUGGUUGUGUCUGGAUCGGGAUCUUUUUCUUGAUAACAGGAACGGAUGUUAUUGUGGAAUUAACCAAAAGAUUUGAACGAAAAUUUCACCCUCCGUUAUGAAUUUUGAUGUGAAAACUUUGCAACUACGAAAGAGAUUUUCAUCGAUAAAUAAGUGUUAUCAAGCUCCAAAUUAUCGUUAAACUAAUUAAUAAGUACCUUAAUUAUAAUAUUUAAGUCGGUUUAAUAUCUUUUAAUAAAGAAUUUUUUAAAAAAUUAAAUUAUAAUUAUGUCAAAUUUAAAAGUGAGGUUAGAAUUACUUAUUUAACUCUCAAUCGCUAUUUAAAUGCGAUUUGUGGCUCAUAAAUUAUAAUUACAAUAAACUAAUAUCCUUGAUUUGAUUCUUAAUGAAUUAAUCAAUUUUUACUUUGAUAUGCAAUAAUUUUAUUAAAUACCUUCCGAUUAA